UGCCAGCCGCCGCGGUAAUACGGAGGGUGCAAGCGUUGUUCGGAAUUACUGGGCGUAAAGCGUGCGUAGGCGGUUAGAUAAGUCGGGUGUGAAAGCCCAGGGCUCAACCCUGGAACUGCACCCGAUACUGUCUAACUUGAGUGUGGGAGAGGGAAGCGGAAUUCCUGGUGUAGCGGUGAAAUGCGUAGAUAUCAGGAGGAACACCCGUGGCGAAAGCGGCUUCCUGGCCCAUUACUGACGCUGAGGCACGAAAGCGUGGGGAGCAAACAGGAUUAGAUA
rnacentral:rRNA from 1 species